rnacentral:rRNA from 1 species
GACGAACGCUGGCGGCGUGCCUAAUACAUGCAAGUCGAGCGCAGGAAGCUGACGGAACUCUUCGGAGGGAAGGCAGUGGAAUGAGCGGCGGACGGGUGAGUAACACGUAAGGAACCUGCCUCAAGGAUUGGGAUAACUCCGAGAAAUCGGAGCUAAUACCGGAUAGUUCAACGGACCGCAUGGUCCGCUGAUGAAAGGCGCUCCGGCGUCACCUAGAGAUGGCCUUGCGGUGCAUUAGCUAGUUGGUGGGGUAACGGGCCACCAAGGCGACGAUGCAUAGCCGACCUGAGAGGGUGAUCGGCCACACUGGGACUGAGACACGGCCCAGACUCCUACGGGAGGCAGCAGUAGGGAAUCUUCCACAAUGGACGAAAGUCUGAUGGAGCAACGCCGCGUGAGUGAUGAAGGUUUUCGGAUCGUAAAACUCUGUUGUAAGGGAAGAACACGUACGAGAGGAAAUGCUCGUACCUUGACGGUACCUUACGAGAAAGCCACGGCUAACUACGUGCCAGCAGCCGCAGUAAAAC